rnacentral:rRNA from 1 species
AUUGAACGCUGGCGGCAGGCCUAACACAUGCAAGUCGAGCGGAGCGGCGGACGGGCGGGUAAUGCCUAGGAAUCUGCCUGGUAGUGAGGGGUAUCGUCCGGCAACGGGCGGUAAUAACUCAUACUAUCAGUUGGGCCUAGGCCGGAUUAGUUAGUUGGUGGGGUAAAGGCUUACCAAGGCGACGAUCCGUACCUGGUCUGAGAGGAUGAUCAGUCACACUGGAACUGAGACACGGUCCAGACUCCUACGGGAGGCAGCAGUGGGGAAUAUUGGACAAUGGGCGAAAGCCUGAUGCAGCCAUGCCGCGUGUGUGAAGAAGGUCUUAGGAUUGUAAAGUACUUUAAGUUGGGAGGCGUUACCAACAGAAGAAGCACCGGCUAACUUCGUGCCAGCAGCCGCGGUAAUAC